GACGAACGCUGGCGGCGUGCCUAAUACAUGCAAGUAGAACGCUGAAGCGAGGAGCUUGCUCUUCUUGGAUGAGUUGCGAACGGGUGAGUAACGCGUAGGUAACCUGCCUUGUAGCGGGGGAUAACUAUUGGAAACGAUAGCUAAUACCGCAUAAUAAUGUAUGACACAUGUCAUUUAUUUGAAAGGGGCAAUUGCUCCACUACAAGAUGGACCUGCGUUGUAUUAGCUAGUAGGUGAGGUAAUGGCUCAACUAGGCGACGAUACAUAGCCGACCUGAGAGGGUGAACGGCCAAACUGGGACUGAGGCACGGGCCAAGCUCCUACGGGAGGCAGCAGUAGGGGAUCUUCGGCAAUGGGGGCAAAGCUGACCGGACAACGCCGCGUGAGUGAAGAAAGUUUUCGGAUCGUAAAGCUCUGUUGUAAGUGGAGAACGAGUGUGAGAGUGGAAAGUUCACACUGUGACGGUAGCUUACCAGAAAGGGACGGCUAACUACGUG
rnacentral:rRNA from 1 species